rnacentral:rRNA from 1 species
UACGUAGGGAGCAAGCGUUGUCCGGAAUCAUUGGGCGUAAAGCGCGCGUAGGUGGCUUCAUAAGUCCGUUGUGAAAGUCAAAGGCUCAACCUUUGAAAGCCGAUGGAUACUGUGGAGCUAGAGUACGGAAGAGGCGAGUGGAAUUCCUGGUGUAGCGGUGGAAUGCGCAGAUAUCAGGAGGAACACCAAUAGCGAAGGCAGCUCGCUGGGACGUUACUGACACUGAGGCGCGAAAGCGUGGGGAGCGAACGGG